AAACAUCUUGGUUUCUUCCUUAAAUAAUCUAUCAAUGUUUAAUGAUGUCAUUGGGCCUCUCAAACAACCGGGGGAAAGAAUUGUUACUCUCUCUAGAUACUGGCUAAUAAGCGAAUUGAAAAUUGACAGUUUCAAAAUAGAGACCUAUUGUACUUCAUACAUCUGCAGAGACCUCAGCAUCUAUCAAAGAAGGAAGAGCCUCAUACCCUGGGAAAUGAUGAAGCAGAUGCUGAAUGAGCCACUGCUAAUUCUUCAUGGUGCCUGGUACUGGAAGAUCGAGCUGCAUAAUCUGGUGUCAGAUCUUCCAAAAGUCCUGAAAUGCCUUUUAAUGUUUCCAAAGCAUCCAGUGUUAAUUUUAGUUAAUUACUAUUUAAUAGCCACUGAGAAAAGACAAUUAAUAGCACUGCAAUGUUUUUAAAUAAUGAUUUUUCAGUCAGAAGUGACUGUGCAUGAUUUAGUACUGGUACUAUCAACUUUCUGUAAUUUUAAGCCCUUUUAUCAUAUCUUUACAGCUUUGAAUUAUCACUAUGACUGAAAAGUGCUGAGUGUGUUCUGAGAAGCCACAGGAGCAAUAUUUUCAUGCAAAUACAUGAACAGUUACCUUGACAACAUGACUCAAUAAAAUGAUGAAUCCAAUAUAAAGAAAACAGCUACAACCAAUAUCAAAAUACCAUGGACACAGCCUCUUUCCUCCUUGACUAAUUCUAGUCUGUGCCUGUUGGACACCAUGCUGACCUUAUCUCCUUCCUCCCUUCACACUCUAAAUAGAACAUAUGCCAUGUCCAAAAUACAGAGUAGCAGAAUUAGUCCAUUCUGCACAUCGAAUCUGGGAGCAGCUGAUCUAUUUCCCUCACAACCCCAUUCUCCUCCUGUCUUUUCCUGUAACCUUUCAUGCCCUGACUUAUCAAGGAUCUAUCAACCUCCGCCUUAAGUACACCCGAUGAUCUGGCCUCCUGUGAUAACAAAUUCCACAGACUCGCCACCCUUUGGCUAAAGAAAUUCCUCCUCAUUUCUGUUCUAAAUGGACGUCCCUUUAUUUUGAAGCUGGGCCUUUGGUAUCAGACUCAGUCUCUAUAGGAACCAUCCUCUCCACGUCCACUCUAUCUAGUCCUUUCAACAUUUGAGAGGAUUCAAUG